AUGUGAAAGAAGGUUUCGGAUUUUGGCUUCAAAAGCGCAAAAGACAAAGAGGAGAGCUGGCUUUAAUCUAAAAACAACGUAGCAUGUUAUACACAUAUGGUCAGUUUGGUUAUUUUGUAUUUUUUUCUUCAUUCAAAAUUGAACAGAACUAAUCAAUAUUUCUAGAAAUAAUAAAUGAACAGAAUAGAUCGAAGAACUUAACCGGAAAAAAAACCGAAUUAAAUCGGUUCAGU
rnacentral:misc_RNA from 1 species